UACGGAGGGUGCAAGCGUUAUCCGGAUUCACUGGGUUUAAAGGGAGCGUAGGUGGGUCUGUAAGUCAGUGGUGAAAUCUCCAAGCUUAACUUGGAAACUGCCGUUGAUACUAUAGACCUUGAAUGCUGUGGAGGUGAGCGGAAUAUGUCAUGUAGCGGUGAAAUGACUUAGAUAUGACAUAGAACACCAAUUGCGAAAGGCAGCUCACUACCCAGAUAUUGACACUGAGGCACGAAAGCGUGGGGAUCAAACAGG
rnacentral:rRNA from 1 species